CGGAAUUAUUUACACGAUAUCAGCUUCAUACUUAUGGUGGAGUUAGUCACCACCUAUUGAUAUCUAUUAAGAAGUUUUUUUUAUAAGUAUUUGAUUUAAUCUAUCUACACUGUAAAUAGAUUAAUAACUUAAUAAUCUUAAAUUAUUGUACAAUCUACAGUUGUUGAACAAAAAUUAAAAUUAAAACAUAAACACAUUAUAAGUUAACCAAUACAUAAUUGGAACUUCAAAAUUUUGGACAGAAAA